GGCAUUGGCCACUGUCAGAAGACAGGAUACAUUGGCUAGAUGGACCACGGGUCUGACCCAGUACGGCUGUUCUUAUGUUCUGUACCUGUGGAGCAGUGUUCAUGACAUAAAAGUACUGUGAAGAUUAAACUUCAAAGGUUCAUGAUGACUGUCUCAUUUUCUCCAAGGGAAUUUAGGCGCGGGGAGCUUUUUCAUAGGGCCUAUUUCUGAUGGAUUUGGAGACUGCAAGCAUGAGGUUCAGGGUGUGCCUGAUGUCUCCUGUACUGUGGAGGAUGUGUUGCAGAGCACAGCUCCUUGCAGGAUCAAACCUGAUAGAGUGGCCCAGGGGAUUAGCACCACUACUCUGCCAAAAAUUGCCAUGGGGCCUCUGCUAAUCAAAAGCAAAGUCUCAGUUUCACGUGGCAUUUGAAAGAGGACAUCUCCAGAAGCACAGUAGCCCCCUAACAUGACAGCGCUGCACUGGGUAAGUA